CCCUUAGAUGUUCUGGGCCGCACGCGCGCUACACUGACGAAUGCAACGAGCUUAUAACCUUGGCCGAAAGGUCUGGGUAAUCUCCAAAUUUCGUCGUGAUGGGGAUAGAUUAUUGCAAUUAUUAAUCUUCAACGAGGAAUGCCUAGUAAGCGCAAGUCAUCAGCUUGCGUUGAUUACGUCCCUGCCCUUUGUACACACCUCCCGUCGCUCCUACCGAUUGAAUGGUCCGGUGAAGCGUUCGGACCGUGGCCUUUGGACGGUUCGCCGUCUGUUGGCUGCGGGAAGUUCGUUAAACCUUAUCAUUUAGAGGAAGGAGAAGUCGUAACA
rnacentral:rRNA from 1 species